GGCGGGCGGGAAGCCAGGGCUCGACGGGCGGGGAAGGGCUUCGUGGUCGGCCCUAACUCGGCCAGGUUCUUCUCCGCCCUUUGUCAGCUCCACCUCGGGCGCCCGACCCGAACCAUCGCGGCCCCGCCUCCGGGACGCCGGAGUGUGGGAGGGGACAGCUGCCUGGGCGGGCUCCGGGCGGCCCCAGGGGACUGAGCGUGUGCGUAACCUACGUGACAGAGAGCCCAGACGCAAACCUCCGACAACCUCCCUUCUGCUCAACGGAGAAAGGCUGGCGCGUUCUCGCCGCCGCUCAACCCCGCCCCCGAAUCCGCUCGGAAGAGGGCCGAGCGGGGCGUACGUUCCGACCGCGCCCAUUGGUUCCCACGAGGCGCCUGCGCGUGGCGCUGGACGAGCUUCACGCCGACGGACACGUGAGACUACGCAGUGACGUAGGCGUUGCCCAGGAACCAGAACUUGAUGAAGAAAUGCAGAUUCCAGAAUCUUGGACCGAAAAUGUACAGGUCACUGGAGAUUGCUGAUGGAGACCU